UGGGGUUACAGGUUUGCUCAUUCCAAACAACUGGACUUUUUCACCACACUCUUCUCUAUGUAACAAUACCACUUUUGAAUUCCAUGCUAUUACUACAAUGCAACCCACAAAAAUACAUUUUGUUGUCAUUUAUCACCCUCCAGGUCAGCUGGCAAACUUCCUCAAGGAGUUGGAUGUCCUGCUGUCCUCAUUCCCGGAGGAUGGUAAGCCAUUUGUGGUUCUUUGUGAUUUCAACAUUCACCAAGACAAGCCCCAAGCCACUGAACUGAAUGCUCUUCUGGCCUCAUUUGACUUGGAAAGACUAAGCACCACAGCAACUCACAGAUCGGGCAACCAGCUGGACCUCAUUUUUACAUACAACAUCUGCCCUCUCUCCUCAAGACCAGCACGUACUACACCACCCAGCCCCUGGCACUCUGAUGUCCUUCGUGAACAUCGGACUGACCUCAGGGCAGCUGAGAGGAGAUGGCAGAAAUCUAAAGAUCCAGCAGAUCUAGAACAAGCUGCUGGAUGACAAUCAGUCAGUUCUGAUUCUUCUGGACCUUUCUGCAGCCUUUGACACAGUCAACCAUCAGAUCCUACUCUCCACCCUCUCUUUACUGGGCAUCACAGGAACUGUGCUUGACUGGUUUAAUUCCUAUCUCUCAGCCCAAUGACACCACAGUGACUGCUUGAAUCUCUGCCUGCCUGGCAGACAUCUUGGCCUGGAUGAAUGAACACCACCUGCAGCUUAACCCAGCCAAGACCGAACUCCUUGUCUUUCCAGCCAACCCUGCUGUUGAACACAACAUCACUGUGCAGCUGGGUGCAACUCAUAUAUGUUAUUCGUGAAGUAGACAUGUUAGUAUGUAAAAGGAAAAUAAGAAAAGAUAAAAUUAAAAGAUACUUAAGUGCUAUGGUGAGUGCGCCUUGUUGGUGUCCUUUUUUGGUGGACUCGCACAGGUAGACUCGCUGGUCUUUCCACAAGUAGGUCUUCACACGAGGAGGGCUUUACAUGGGGGCUACCACUUCUGCUGCCACUUCCGCGUCAGUAUUCACGUCAAAUAUAUACACUAUGCUAACGAGCCGUACAGUGAAAAGCAACUCCAUCCGUGAAGCGGACUCACUUUCUGUCUUCAAAAAAUGGCUAAAAACACAUCUUUUCCAUGAGCACUUAACCAGUCACUAAAAAAACUUGUUGCACUUUUAUCUGUUUUGAAUGCUAUUCUGAUGCUAGUGAAACUUUGUAAUAUGGCACUUUUUGUACUACUAUCUCCUUAAGAUGAUUUGCUUAUGUGUUCCUCUUUUGUAAGUCGCUUUGGAUAAAAGUGUCUGCCAAAUUAAUAAAUGUAAAUGUAAAUACUACCAAAAUUCCUACAGUGCGUUUGGGACACUUAAUAUGCUUAAAAACUCAUUAAACUUUGCACACACAUCAGAGUUGUCGGCUAUUAGGGCUGGGCAAAAGUUGUAGGGGGAGUAUGUAGGCUCUGUAGCAUCCCCUUGAACAUGGGCAUGUAAAGGAGGCUCUGUAGCACCCCCAUUUUCACCUACAGUCACCAUUUAUUUUUUUAAUUUCAGUCUUUGAACUUUUAAAUACUCCUCCUAGGGGAUUUAUGAGACUAUCACCACAUUUAUACAACAUUAUGCCAAGACACUGAAGAUGCUAAAUUGUGAACAGAUUUUUGAUAUAUCGAACGGUGCUGCCAUGGUAAGGGAUUAAAUUAAUGGCAAAAAAUGGGAAACAUGAAGUGUAUUAUAUAUUCUGUGUUCAAUGUGUGCAAUGUGUGAUUUAG